AGUGGACAGAGCUGAGGUCAUCUUCAGCUGGACCCAGUUCCUGUCGGCAGUAAUAGAAGACGUCAAAGACAUCAGGUCGCAGGGUGGUCAGCUUCUGACCUAUGAUAAGGAUGAGGCUGUGGAAGCCGUACUGCAAAAUGAAGCCGCCUAUGCAAUUCAAUCUCAAGGCAGCAGUCCUCAAUGUGGCGGUGUCCGGGCUGAACCAAGUGGACCCAGG